UACAGAGGUCUCAAGCGUUGUUCGGAUUCAUUGGGCGUAAAGGGUGCGUAGGUGGCGCCGUAAGUCGGGUGUGAAAUUUCGGAGCUUAACUCCGAAACUGCAUUCGAUACUGCGGUGCUUGAGGACUGGAGAGGAGACUGGAAUUCAUGGUGUAGCAGUGAAAUGCGUAGAGAUCAUGAGGAAGACCAGUGGCGAAGGCGGGUCUCUGGACAGUCCUGACACGAGGCACGAAGGCCAGGGGAGCAAACGGG
rnacentral:rRNA from 1 species